GGGAAUCGCAAUGCUGCAGGUUUUUAGAGUUUCCAUGAGAGAACGUGGAUUUUGAUGAUUACAGGUUAUGUUGAGUCAUGGACACAAAGGCGUCCGCGCAAGUGCGAACUGUGUGAGUAUGUGUUUUUAGUAUUCUAUCUCGUUUCGCAUGUUGUUUGUUUCCUUAAACUUGUGAAUUUGUUUUAGCGCAAGAGGAGGAAGAUAUGUGAAUGGUACGAGAUGACGUGAUCGACGUGCGUGUGUGAAUAUGUGCAAAGGAUGAUGCUGAAGGGGCGGUUUUCCAUCCAAAUAGGCACAGUGGUUAUUAGUUGUGUAACUCCAGUUUCUGAUCUAUGGAAAGUGGUGAAACGUCUUCACGAAAUACAAUUUCAUUCGUUUUCCUCCCUUGCAUUGGCACGCUGUGAGUGGUGUCGACUUCCAAAUGAGUGCAAGAAGAAGAAGAAUUGUAAAGAAUCCGUAAGUGGCCCUAGAAGACGCAGUCAUCGUGUGAGGUGUUGUCGGCAGGAACGAAGAGUCGAAGUUGUUGAAGAAGUCGUGUGACAUUUGUAUUGUUUCUGGUUAUAUACAACGCUAUUUCACAUAUCUAUGUAUAUAUAUAUAUAUAUAUAUAUAUAAUAUAAUAAUAAUA
rnacentral:misc_RNA from 1 species